UCAGGUCGAAAUAGAUCUUCUGAAUGGAGAAACCAGAUUUCUGCAAACAGAUAUUAUUUAUGAUUGUGGACAGAGUCUAAACCCUGCUGUGGAUUUAGGACAGAUUGAUAGAGCUUUUGUCCAGGGUUUAGGGUUUUUCAUGCUUGAAGAAUACGAAACAAAUAUUGAUGGUUUGGAAUUACAAAAUCCCUACAAUAGACACUAUACCUAAACGGUUUACAAUUCAAAUCCUCAACAGUGGGUACCACUAGCAACGUGUUCUUUCUUCAAAAGAUAUGACCAUGGAGUUACCAAAAACCUGUUUGUGUAUUUGUCUUUUUUGUUUAUUCAUUUUCUCUGAAUGCACAUCACUUAUAUAUGAAAAGGGAAGUUUUGUGAUUCUCUUUCAUUGAAUCAUUUAUAGGUUUAUUCUAACAAUUCAAUUACAAAAUCUAGGGACGAUAAAGACAGAAGAAAAUACUUGCUAACCAUGUAUUUUGUGGUGUAAACUGUUA